UUCAUAAGGAUUACAGAUAUUUGGAAGAUUAUAGAUAUUAUAUUUGGAAGAUUCCUAAGCAUGCAAAAUAAAUACUAAAUAAAAAGGAUAAUUGUUGAUAUUUGAUGGGGCAGGGCAUUUACAAUGACUAUCACUUUCGAUCGUGAAAAACUUCUUUAUUGGAGAACAAAGCUGUCUCGUGCGUGUAACAAAAGUAGCGAUCCAGACAGUUACACUUUUGUACAAUUGCUCAGUCAGGAAUUGCAAUACACACAAAAGAAUGACACUUAAUUAAAGAGCUUACUUGAUAGAGAUUGAGACUUAAACAUAUUACGACUAGCAAUAUUAUACAAAAAUAUGUUCCAUUGAAAUUAGAUACAUAAAAUUCAGACAACCUUGAAAAACAUGAGAAUAUUUCAUUUCACCUUUACUAGAACUAUUUAAAAAAUAGAAAAUAUUGUAUAUAGGUGUCCCAAAUUACCCAUAAUAAAUAUUACAUUUCGACAUACCAGAGAGCACGAAAUUUUCACCUUUUAUUAGCAAAUAUUUAUUAGUUGUUUCAUAUUUAAAAACUAAAUAUAUUAUAACCACAACAUUUUUCUAUUAAAUUUUUUGUUUAGACUGUUCCAUAGAACCUAUAUUUAAAAAUAUUACCAGUGUUUCGGAUCACAAUAUAUGUGUAGCAGAAACGUACUCAAUGGCUAUGCAGUGAAAAUCCACUAUACGAGCUAUCUUCUUAUCGAUGUCCAUAUUGUUUUUCAGAUUAGUUUUGUCGUGAAUAUUUAAUAUCAGCAAUUGAUUCAUACGUAGGCGGUGUGCUCUUGGCACGCCAACAGCUGUAUUACUUAGCAACAGGCACAAACACGCGUAAAGUGGGAAAGGACAACGUACUACUUCCAUCCUUCUCUUAUAUUUUCUUCUUUCCAACAGAAAUAAUAUCAAUUUCUGUAUGCGUACAGGAGCUGUAUACCAUUGAACACUGUAUCUGCAAAAUAAUAAUCAGUCAAUAAGAUGAUUAUUUAAAAUACGUAAUAUAUGAUUGUGUUAUAAACUUAAGACUGUUCCAUAGAACCUAUAUUUAAAAAUAUUACCAGUGUUUCGGAUCACAAUAUAUGUGUAGCAGAAACGCACUCAAAGGCUAUGCAGUGAAAAUCCACUAUACGAGCUAUCUUCUCAUCGAUGUCCAUAUUGUUUUUCAGAUUAGUUUUGUCGUGAAUAUUUAAUAUCAGCAAUUGAUUCAUACGGAGGCAAACUACAAAUAAUGUGAACAAUGUAUUUACGUGAUGGGUCAUUAAUGGUUACUAAAUGAACCGAACGGAAUUUUCAAAGAUGAUAAAAGAGUUGUUCAUCAGGUACAUGUAGAGAAAUUACUGUGCAAAGCACUUUUGUGUUGCUGACGCUUUGGAUGAUUAAGAGCGCAACUUGCCAAAUUCAGUAAAUCUCCGCUUCGACAAAAACCUACAGUAUAUAAUCACUUAUUAAUGAAUGUGAUCUGGCUAUUCGCCAAUAACCGUUGUCUGUGCUUCCUGUGACAAUCCAAGCCUGUUAGCAUCGCAAAUGGAAAUAACGGGAUAUUUUCAUAUUAAUAAUAAGAGAUGAGCAACCGAAGCAGUGAUUGCGAUUCUAAACUUUUAAACUUGUGAAGUUGUACGCGCGUAGCAUUUGUAAUAAAUCUCAUACAUGAGUGAUCUGCGAAAGCGGAAC
rnacentral:lncRNA from 1 species